GCUUGGACUGAGCUACUGUCUGUUGCUAACCAGACCAAAGUGAGCUGUGCCUGUGGCUCCGGCCGCUGACUGACUGAGUAUAGACAACUGUCACCAUGCCCCACUCAUACCCAGCCCUUUCUGCUGAGCAGAAGAAGGAGUUGUCGGAUAUUGCUCUGAGGAUUGUGGCCCCAGGCAAGGGCAUUCUGGCUGCAGAUGAGUCCGUGGGUAAGUAGGAGCCCAGGGUCAGGGUUGAGGAGAGGUUGCCAGGGAGCUCUAGCCGAAGAACAAGUCUGUUUCCCCUUUGCUUGCUUCUAGGCAGCAUGGCCAAAAGGCUGAGCCAAAUUGGGGUAGAGAACACUGAGGAGAAUCG
rnacentral:lncRNA from 1 species